rnacentral:rRNA from 1 species
GACGAACGCUGGCGGCGUGCUUAACACAUGCAAGUCGAACGAAGUGGCGAACGGGUGAGUAACGCGUAAUCAACCUGCCCUUCAGAGGGGGACAACAGUUGGAAACGACUGCUAAUACCACAUACUGAAGGAGGGGCUUGCGUCUGAUUAGCUAGUUGGCGGGGUAACGUCCCACCAGGGCGAUGAUCAGUAGCCGGUCUGAGAGGAUGAACGGCCACAUUGGGACUGAGAGGCGGCCCAGAGUCGUACGGGAGGCAGCAGGAGGGAAUCUUCCGCAAUGGACGAAAGUCUGACGGAGCAACGCCGCGUGAGUGAUGACGGCCUUCGGGUUGUAAAGCUCUGUUAAUCGGGACGCGGUACCGGAAUAGAAAGCCACGGCUAACUACGUGCCAGCAGCCGCGGUAAUAC